GAUGAACGCUAGCGGCAGGCUUAACACAUGCAAGUCGAGGGGUAGAGGUUGCUUGCAACCUUGAGACCGGCGCACGGGUGCGUAACGCGUAUGCAACCUACCUUUUACAGAGGGAUAGCCCAGAGAAAUUUGGAUUAAUACCUCAUAGUAUAUAACCUUCGCAUGUUGGUUAUAUUAAAGUUCCAACGGUAAAAGAUGGGCAUGCGUCCUAUUAGCUAGAUGGUAAGGUAACGGCUUACCAUGGCAACGAUAGGUAGGGGUCCUGAGAGGGAGAUCCCCCACACUGGUACUGAGACACGGACCAGACUCCUACGGGAGGCAGCAGUGAGGAAUAUUGGACAAUGGGCGCAAGCCUGAUCCAGCCAUGCCGCGUGCAGGAAGAAGCAUCUAUGGUGUGUAAACUGCUUUUGUACGAGGGUAAAGUGGGUUACGUGUAACCUUUUGAAAGUAUCGUACGAAUAAGGAUCGGCUAACUCCGUGCCAGCAGCCGCCGUAACAC
rnacentral:rRNA from 1 species